AUUCCAGCUCCAGUAGCGUAUAUUAAAGUUGUUGCAGUUAAAAAGCUCGUAGUUGGAUUUCUGACUUCAGAUACCUGACCCUCCCUCGCUAGAGGUGUGUGUGCCGGAGUAUUUGUAUCAUCCUUUCAGUGAUCGGCUCUACCCUUAACCGGGUCGGAGCUGCUAGCUGGAUCUUUUACUUUGAAGAAAUUGGAGUGUUUAAAGCAGGCUUACGCCAGAACAUAUUAGCAUGGAAUAAUAAUUUAGGACUUUUGUUCUAUUUUGUUGGUUUCUAGGACGAAAGUAAUGAUUGAUAGGGAUAGUUGGGGGUGCUAGUAUUCGGCGGCCAGAGGUGAAAUUCUUUGAUCCGCUGAAGACUAACUUAUGCGAAAGCAUUCACCAAGGAUGUUUUCAUUG
rnacentral:rRNA from 1 species